rnacentral:rRNA from 1 species
GACGAACGCUGGCGGCGUGCUUAACACAUGCAAGUCGAGCGAUGAAAUCCCUUCGGGGAUGGAUUAGCGGCGGACGGGUGAGUAACACGUGGGUAACCUCCCUCAAAGAGGGGGAUAGCCUCCCGAAAGGGAGAUUAAUACCGCAUAACAUUAGUUUUUCGCAUGGAGAACUAAUUAAAGGAGUAAUCCGCUUUGAGAUGGACCCGCGGCGCAUUAGCUAGUUGGUGAGGUAACGGCUCACCAAGGCGACGAUGCGUAGCCGACCUGAGAGGGGGAUCGGCCACAUUGGAACUGAGACACGGUCCAGACUCCUACGGGAGGCAGCAGUGGGGAAUAUUGCACAAUGGGCGAAAGCCUGAGGCAGCAACGCCGCGUGAGUGAUGAAGGCCUUCGGGUUGUAAAGCUCUGUCUUUUGGGACGAUAAUGACGGUACCAAAGGAGGAAGCCACGGCUAACUACGUGCCAGCCGCCGCAGUAA